rnacentral:rRNA from 1 species
CCUACGGGAGGCAGCAGUAGGGAAUAUUGCUCAAUGGGGGAAACUCUGAAGCAGCAACGCCGCGUGGAGGAUGAAGGUUUUCGGAUUGUAAACUUCUUUUGUUAGAGAAGAUAAUGACCGUAACUAACGAAUAAGCACCGGCCAAUCUCGUGCCAGCAGCCGCGGUAAUACGGAGUGUGCAAGCGUUACUCGGAAGCACUGGGCGUAAAGAGCGCGUAGGCGGGAUAGCAAGUCAGAUGUGAAAUCCUAUGGCUUAACCGUAGAACUGCAUUUGAAACUGUUAUUCUAGAGUAUGGGAGAGGAAGGUGGAAUUCUAGGUGUAGGGGUAAAAUGCGUAGAGAUCAAGAGGAAUACUCGUUGCGAAGGCGACCUGCUAGAACGUAACUGACGCUGAUGCGCGAAAGCGUGGGGAGCAAACAGGAUUAGAUACCCGAGUAGUC